GGUUUGGCGUGAGGCAAGUCUAGGUUGACAGCUAACGAGACACCUUGAUCUUUCCCAGAUGCUGUUUCAUCAGAUGAAGCGAAACCUCCUUCUGACGCGGCAAACCUGAUCUCUCUGAGGCCGUCUGGCCCCUUGUGGGAGUUCAGCUGCAGCUGAGGGCCUGUUCAGAUUGCACGUCUGUCACAUAGCGUCUUUCAGGACCCUACGCAGACAGCCCAAUCUGGAAGGGAGUGAACAGACACGGGGAGGAGACGAGAAACAAGGCUGUAGACGAACAGAGGGGCAUAACAAAGGUGCUCGAGGGGGGCGUGGUCCAGGCAAACAGUCCAAAGGGUGUUUGUAGGGAAAUCCAUAGGGAGGCAAGUGUCCAGAGCCGGGUGGUCCAUCCAUGACAAAGACAAACGAAGUUAAAAGCCGGAACAGGAUCCGGUGAAGGGUUGGGGGAUAAAAAAAGGGGUAACAGGGGCCAGGCGCUCCCAGCCCCGGGGGCAGAUGGUCAGGACGCCGGGGAAGAGGCUUGCCUUCGGACAACCCGGAAAAUAGGCAAGCCUUGUGGCCUCGAUCUUCCAAAGCUGAGCCCGGAAUAGUGGGGGCGUCCAGCUUUUAAAGGGGAGACUGGAACAGGAGGCGGGUGCAGGAGAUCGGGUCAAAUGUGAAAGAGCCGGAGCGAUUCGAAUCGUGGCAACAUCCAAGCACUUGUCUGAGAUCAUCGUAGAGCUCGGCUGUGAUUCCUCUGCGCUGACUUACCUUUCUAGCCAGCAGCAGUGCACCAGCAUGGCUUUGGCCUUAUAAAAUCUCUUCUGCUCUCGCCAUUCAUGGGAAAGCAAACCAAAUGCUCACACCCUGGAUUAAC
rnacentral:lncRNA from 1 species